rnacentral:rRNA from 1 species
UACGUAGGGUGCGAGCGUUGUCCGGAUUUAUUGGGCGUAAAGGGCUCGUAGGCGGCGUGUCGCGUCGGGGAGUGAAAGCCCGUUGCUUAACGGCGGGUUGGCUUUCGGUACGGGCAUGCUGGAGUGUGGCAGGGGAGACUGGAAUUCCUGGUGUAGCGGUGGAAUGCGCAGAUAUCAGGAGGAACACCGGUGGCGAAGGCGGGUCUCUGGGCCGUUACUGACGCUGAAGAGCGAAAGCGUGGGGAGCGAACAGG